rnacentral:rRNA from 1 species
AGGACGAACGCUGGCGGCGUGCCUAACACAUGCAAGUCGAACGAGGUUGAUCUGGUGGCAACACCAGUGACUACCUAGUGGCGAACGGGUGAGUAACACGUGAGGAACCUGCCCCGAAGACCGGGAUAACUCUCCGAAAGGAGUGCUAAUACCGGAUACCCCCACCUAAUCGCAUGAUCUGGUGAGGAAAUGGAUUCCGCUUCGGGAGGGCCUCGCGGCCUAUCAGCUAGUUGGUGGGUAACGGCCACCAAGGCAUCGACGGGUAGCUGGUCUGAGAGGACGAUCAGCCACACUGGGACUGAGACACGGCCCAGACUCCUACGGGAGCAGCAGUGGGAAUCUUGCGCAAGUGGGACGAAAGCCUGACGCAGCAACGCCGCGGUGGGGAGUGGAAGGCUCGUCGGUUCGUAAACCCCUUCGAGCGAGGACGAAUCAAGACGUACUGACAGAAGAACGCCCCGACUAAC